UACGUAGGGCGCAAGCGUUAUCCGGAAUUAUUGGGCGUAAAGAGCUCGUAGGCGGUUUGUCGCGUCUGCCGUGAAAGUCCGGGGCUCAACUCCGGAUCUGCGGUGGGUACGGGGCAGACUAGAGUGAUGUAGGGGAGACUGGAAUUCCUGGUGUAGCGGUGAAAUGCGCAGAUAUCAGGAGGAACACCGAUGGCGAAGGCAGGUCUCUGGGCAUUAACUGACGCUGGAGGAAGCGAAAGCAUGGGGAGCGAACAGG
rnacentral:rRNA from 1 species